rnacentral:lncRNA from 1 species
AUACUUACCUGGAUGGGGUCAAUGGGUGAUCAUGAAGGCCUAUGGCCUAGAAAAGUGACCUCCAUUGCACUUUGGAGGGGUGCUCUUCUAAGGUCUACCCAAGUGGUGGAGCCUACAUCAUAAUUUGUUGCUGUGGGGGCCUGCGUUCGCGCGGCCCCCUCCAUAUUAGUUUAAUUUUUUUUUUUAAACAAAAUAUUAGUCAAUAUGCUGUGGAGGAUCGGAUCGAGCACUCAGAAUGUGAUAAGCACCAUUUAUAGUAUAACCCCCAACAAUGUCUGGGUUCCACUGCUGUCACCUGUCAAGAUUAUCAGUUCUCCAUGCCCCCAGUCUCCUCCACACCUCUCAACCAAGAGCACACAUACCAGUCACCAUGCACAUCUUAUUAGUCGCUAAAU